rnacentral:tRNA from 1 species
UCCCUGGCGGUCCAGUGGUUAGGACUAGGCACUAUCACUGCCAUGGCCCCGGGUUUGAUCCCUGGUCAGGGAA